GGUUAAGCGACUAAGCGUACACGGUGGAUGCCCUGGCAGUCAGAGGCGAUGAAGGACGUGCUAAUCUGCGAUAAGCGUCGGUAAGGUGAUAUGAACCGUUAUAACCGGCGAUUUCCGAAUGGGGAAACCCAGUGUGUUUCGACACACUAUCAUUAACUGAAUCCAUAGGUUAAUGAGGCGAACCGGGGGAACUGAAACAUCUAAGUACCCCGAGGAAAAGAAAUCAACCGAGAUUCCCCCAGUAGCGGCGAGCGAACGGGGAGCAGCCCAGAGCCUGAAUCAGUGUGUGUGUUAGUGGAAGCGUCUGGAAAGGCGCGCGAUACAGGGUGACAGCCCCGUACACAAAAAUGCACAUGCUGUGAGCUCGAUGAGUAGGGCGGGACACGUGGUAUCCUGUCUGAAUAUGGGGGGACCAUCCUCCAAGGCUAAAUACUCCUGACUGACCGAUAGUGAACCAGUACCGUGAGGGAAAGGCGAAAAGAACCCCGGCGAGGGGAGUGAAAAAGAACCUGAAACCGUGUACGUACAAGCAGUGGGAGCACGCUUCGGCGUGUGACUGCGUACCUUUUGUAUAAUGGGUCAGCGACUUAUAUUCUGUAGCAAGGUUAACCGAAUAGGGGAGCCGAAGGGAAACCGAGUCUUAACUGGGCGUUAAGUUGCAGGGUAUAGACCCGAAACCCGGUGAUCUAGCCAUGGGCAGGUUGAAGGUUGGGUAACACUAACUGGAGGACCGAACCGACUAAUGUUGAAAAAUUAGCGGAUGACUUGUGGCUGGGGGUGAAAGGCCAAUCAAACCGGGAGAUAGCUGGUUCUCCCCGAAAGCUAUUUAGGUAGCGCCUCGUGAAUUCAUCUCCGGGGGUAGAGCACUGUUUCGGCAAGGGGGUCAUCCCGACUUACCAACCCGAUGCAAACUGCGAAUACCGGAGAAUGUUAUCACGGGAGACACACGGCGGGUGCUAACGUCCGUCGUGAAGAGGGAAACAACCCAGACCGCCAGCUAAGGUCCCAAAGUCAUGGUUAAGUGGGAAACGAUGUGGGAAGGCCCAGACAGCCAGGAUGUUGGCUUAGAAGCAGCCAUCAUUUAAAGAAAGCGUAAUAGCUCACUGGUCGAGUCGGCCUGCGCGGAAGAUGUAACGGGGCUAAACCAUGCACCGAAGCUGCGGCAGCGACGCUGAUGCGUUGUUGGGUAGGGGAGCGUUCUGUAAGCCUGCGAAGGUGUGCUGUGAGGCAUGCUGGAGGUAUCAGAAGUGCGAAUGCUGACAUAAGUAACGAUAAAGCGGGUGAAAAGCCCGCUCGCCGGAAGACCAAGGGUUCCUGUCCAACGUUAAUCGGGGCAGGGUGAGUCGACCCCUAAGGCGAGGCCGAAAGGCGUAGUCGAUGGGAAACAGGUUAAUAUUCCUGUACUUGGUGUUACUGCGAAGGGGGGACGGAGAAGGCUAUGUUGGCCGGGCGACGGUUGUCCCGGUUUAAGCGUGUAGGCUGGUUUUCCAGGCAAAUCCGGAAAAUCAAGGCUGAGGCGUGAUGACGAGGCACUACGGUGCUGAAGCAACAAAUGCCCUGCUUCCAGGAAAAGCCUCUAAGCAUCAGGUAACAUCAAAUCGUACCCCAAACCGACACAGGUGGUCAGGUAGAGAAUACCAAGGCGCUUGAGAGAACUCGGGUGAAGGAACUAGGCAAAAUGGUGCCGUAACUUCGGGAGAAGGCACGCUGAUAUGUAGGUGAGGUCCCUCGCGGAUGGAGCUGAAAUCAGUCGAAGAUACCAGCUGGCUGCAACUGUUUAUUAAAAACACAGCACUGUGCAAACACGAAAGUGGACGUAUACGGUGUGACGCCUGCCCGGUGCCGGAAGGUUAAUUGAUGGGGUUAGCGCAAGCGAAGCUCUUGAUCGAAGCCCCGGUAAACGGCGGCCGUAACUAUAACGGUCCUAAGGUAGCGAAAUUCCUUGUCGGGUAAGUUCCGACCUGCACGAAUGGCGUAAUGAUGGCCAGGCUGUCUCCACCCGAGACUCAGUGAAAUUGAACUCGCUGUGAAGAUGCAGUGUACCCGCGGCAAGACGGAAAGACCCCGUGAACCUUUACUAUAGCUUGACACUGAACAUUGAGCCUUGAUGUGUAGGAUAGGUGGGAGGCUUAGAAGUGUGGACGCCAGUCUGCAUGGAGCCGACCUUGAAAUACCACCCUUUAAUGUUUGAUGUUCUAACGUUGACCCGUAAUCCGGGUUGCGGACAGUGUCUGGUGGGUAGUUUGACUGGGGCGGUCUCCUCCUAAAGAGUAACGGAGGAGCACGAAGGUUGGCUAAUCCUGGUCGGACAUCAGGAGGUUAGUGCAAUGGCAUAAGCCAGCUUGACUGCGAGCGUGACGGCGCGAGCAGGUGCGAAAGCAGGUCAUAGUGAUCCGGUGGUUCUGAAUGGAAGGGCCAUCGCUCAACGGAUAAAAGGUACUCCGGGGAUAACAGGCUGAUACCGCCCAAGAGUUCAUAUCGACGGCGGUGUUUGGCACCUCGAUGUCGGCUCAUCACAUCCUGGGGCUGAAGUAGGUCCCAAGGGUAUGGCUGUUCGCCAUUUAAAGUGGUACGCGAGCUGGGUUUAGAACGUCGUGAGACAGUUCGGUCCCUAUCUGCCGUGGGCGCUGGAGAACUGAGGGGGGCUGCUCCUAGUACGAGAGGACCGGAGUGGACGCAUCACUGGUGUUCGGGUUGUCAUGCCAAUGGCACUGCCCGGUAGCUAAAUGCGGAAGAGAUAAGUGCUGAAAGCAUCUAAGCACGAAACUUGCCCCGAGAUGAGUUCUCCCUGAC
rnacentral:rRNA from 1 species